rnacentral:lncRNA from 1 species
CAGAUUAGUCCAAUGGAUAACUUCAUGAGUUUAUAGAAGGUUGAUAUAGCCAUUUGCUGUGGUGUGAGGACUGCAUUUUUUUACCAAAUAAGUGAAUUAAAAACUUAUUAUUAAAUUAUUGAAAUGAAAGGAUUAAUCUAUAGAAUUCAAUAAAACCUCUAUUUUUAUGCCCCUACCAUAGCAGAGGAGGCAUUAAGGGCAUACAAUACAGUUACAGGGGAGAUAAUGACGUUGCUAAGUAAAUUCUUAUUUUCGCAACGUCAAACUAUGACUUAUCGGAAAAAGACUCAGUUUUCGGCUGACUUUUAUCAUUCAAACUUAUUUAACUUGAAAACAAGUUCAUGGACCCCCUUUUUUAAAAUGCCAUUCGGUUUGUUUAAGUGAGAAGAUUAUGUGUGCC